AUUGAACGCUGGCGGCAGGCUUAACACAUGCAAGUCGAACGAGUGGCGGACGGGUGAGUAAUGCGUGGGAAUCUGGCUUAUGGCGGGGGAUAACGCCGGGAACCUGUCGCUAAUACCGCGUACCAUAGGAUGAGCCCAAGUGGGAUUAGGUAGUUGGUGGGGUAAUGGCCUACCACGCCGACGAUCCCUAGCUGGUCUGAGAGGAUGACCAGCCACCCCGGGACUGAGACACGGCCCGGACUCCUACGGGAGGCAGCAGUGGGGAAUAUUGCGCAAUGGGGGAAACCUGACGCAGCCAUGCCGCGUGAAUGAAGAAGGCCUUCGGGUUGUAAAGUUCUUUCGGUGACGAGGCGUUAAUCACAGAAGAAGCACCGGCUAACUCCGUGCCAGCAGCCGCGGUAAUUC
rnacentral:rRNA from 1 species